rnacentral:rRNA from 1 species
UACGUAGGGGGCGAGCGUUGUCCGGAUUUACUGGGCGUAAAGCGCGUGUAGGCGGCUUUGCAAGUCGGGUGUGAAAGCCCUCAGCUCAACUGAGGAAGUGCGCCCGAAACUGCAGAGCUUGAGUACCGGAGAGGAUGGCGGAAUUCCCCAAGUAGAGGUGAAAUUCGUAGAUAUGGGGAGGAACACCGGUGGCGAAGGCGGCCAUCUGGACGGAUACUGACGCUGAGACGCGAAAGCGUGGGGAGCAAACAGG